AUGUCGCGCACCUCCGCCGUUGAGAUGCCGCGCACCAUGGGAGGGAUGGACCACGCCGGGGGCGACGCCCGGGCCGCCGGCGAGGGGUCGAGCGGGCAGCAGGGCCGUCUUGACGUCCUGGCCGCCGUCCUGGAUCUUCAUCUCCAGGUUCUUCGGUCGCAGCAGGUGGCUCAUCAGCCGGAUCAGGUGGCUCCUCUGCCGCAGCCGGUUCCUCUGCCGUUGGUUCCUCUUGUGCCCGAGCCUGUGGUCGCCGUCGACGUCGACGAAGAAAUACUAUAUGAAGACAUCGAUAGUGACGAAGAAGGCCAGAUGAUCUACAGGAAACGCAAGGGGAGGGAGCUUGUCGGUGGUGUGCAUGCCAGACGUGUCAGGCCUAGUGCUGGGGGCUACGGAUGCCCUUUCUGCAAUCGCAAGGUUAAUAACACCCGUAUGAGUGUUAUCCAGCAUGCACUCGGACGAGCCGCUAGCCACGCCCAUGGCUAUGCUUCCAGAAUGGCACGCGCCGCGCUUGCUGAGUUCUUGGAGAGGGCUUAG
rnacentral:rRNA from 1 species